UGGGGAAUAUUGCACAAUGGGCGGAAGCCUGAUGCAGCGACGCCGCGUGGGGGAUGAAGGCCUUCGGGUUGUAAACUCCUUUCGACAGGGACGAAGCUUUUGUGACGGUACCUGUAUAAGAAGCACCGGCUAACUACGUGCCAGCAGCCGCGGUAAUACGUAGGGUGCGAUCGUUGUCCGGAAUUACUGGGCGUAAAGAGCUCGUAGGUGGUUUGUCGCGUCGUCUGUGAAAUUCCGGGGCUUAACUCCGGGCGUGCAGGCGAUACGGGCUGACUUGAGUGCUGUAGGGGGGACUGGAAUUCCUGGUGUAGCGGUGAAAUGCGCAGAUAUCAGGAGGAACACCGAUGGCGAAGGCAGGUCUCUGGGCAGUAACUGACGCUGAGGGGCGAAAGCAGGGGUAGCGAACAGG
rnacentral:rRNA from 1 species